CGGUUUGGUUGAAAGAGGAAAGAGCCUGGCAGUCUAGGCGCUAAGCUUUUGGAAGUAUUAGAUGAAGUGCACACUAUGGUUUUAAAGUGGGGCCUAUUAUCAGUUUGUUAAUUAAGCAGUUGGACUUUGGGGAGGCAGCGAUGGGAGCUGGGCUUAGUCUUUGCCUAGGAGUGUGUCAUGAUAAAAGCAGUGUCAUGGGCAGAUAAACUUGGCCAGUGUCUGCAGAUCAAAUUAGAAGGCUUAGAAGUCUUUAGGGAACUAAGAUGACAUUCUGGGAGUGAUGGAACAAGAGAACGGGCUAAUGUGAUGAUACCAAGAUCAGAAAUGUUAGGACAGAUGCAAGAGGUGUUUGGAGGCAGCAGUGCCCAGCGAUAAAAAUAAAGAUCACACAUAUGAGAUUCAUAUAUAAUCUGGAAAAUUCUAGAAGAUAUACUUUGAAAAGAGAAGAAUAAACAGGCAACAAGACCAGCCAGGCAGCUCAGUGAGUCAAGGUGCCCACUGUACAAGUGUGAAGACUUUAGUUCUGGCGCCAGAACCCAAGUAAAGGUGGGAAAAGAGGAUCAACUUCACAAAGUUUCCCCCUGACCUCCACACAUGUUCUGUGUUAUGUGCACCCAUCAUAGCCACCCCCUUGAUGAUAAAUAAACAGAAGGGCAGAUGGAUGCGAAGAAACGAGACACGCUUUGGAACCAGACUCCCUGUACAUGGAGGAGAAAGAAGAGGCAGAAACAGUUACAACACGCCAGGGGUUCAAGGGAGAGUCUCAGGUCCUGUGAGGACUCAGUUCAAAGUGAUGCAGGAAUAUUCAGACAGAAAUACUUUGUCUCACCAUGAAAACUGACUACUACAAUCCAAGCAGGAAGUCAGAAGAGGAACCGGAUUGGCAGGCGCCCGGGGCAUUAAAUAAGUGGCUCUUCUCGGUGGCUUGUGAAGGAGACACCCAAGGCAUCGCCGUGACAACUAAGUAAUUCUUAUUUUUCAAAAGCCCUGUGUUGGCUUAAGCUCCGCACACAGUCUGUCUGAAUGUGGUUUGUGGCGGGCCAGGUAAUGAAUAAGCAGGCCUGCUAGAAUGACUCCACCCUGAGAAGAAACCCAAGACGUCCAUUCAUAUAAAAGGCCAAGGAAACAACUAUAAAUAAACUCACAGGUGCUGAAGAUAUUGACUGCCAGACUGGAUUGCCUUUUUCAAGUUCAAGUUCUGUGUUCUGUGGCACACUCUCUAUUUGAAUUUGGGGCUUGUAACACCCUAAUCCUUCUCUUCCCCCCCCCUCAACCCCUCCCAUUCUCUUUGUUUCUUGGUUUCUUUGUUUCUCUUUCUUUCAUGGCUAAUCUUGGUUGUCAACACACCUGGGAACAGAAAACCUCAAUUGCCUCCUCAGAUUAGUUUUCAUGUCUAAUUGAUGGAGGAGGGAAUCUAGCCAGCCCACCGUGGGCAGCACAAUCCCUAUGUAGAUGGAUCCAGUGUACAUAGAAAGGUAGCUGACCGUGAGCUUCAGAACAAGUGUUUGCCUAUGCUUCAUGGUUCCUGCUUCAGGCUCCUGCCUUGGCUUCUUUCAACCAUUGUUUGUGGCCUGGAAGCGGAAGCCAAAGCAACUUUUCUUUCCCAAGUUGCUUCCGGUCACAGUAUUUAUCAUAGUAAUAGAAACCACACUAGAACACUUGCUUUUUCAGACACAGUCUCACAGGAGCCUAGCCUGGCCUUGAACAUACUACAUAGCUGAGACUGAUCUUGAACGCUUGAUCCCUUUGCCUCCAUAUCUUAACUUCUGGGAUUACGGAUAUGCACCCAGCUUCUAAGCCACAUUCUUGCAACAAGUUCACUACCAAAUAAUGCAAAAAGUAUCAGAGGAGAAAAAUAUGAUUUUACUGCAAUGGGAAUAAGGUGUGCUCAUUAUCGUCUUCCAGAUGUUUCCUGCUGCAAUAGUUAAAGCGAGGAAUUGGAAGUAAGACCUAUGGCCACACAGUCUAAAGUAAAUAUCUGGACCUCUAAGGGAAAAAUGCUGUUAAUCUCUGUGAUGAUAAACUUUGAUUAUCAACUGAUUGGGAUGAAAAUGCCAAGGAGAUUAGUGAGCUGUUCUUCUUAGCGUUUGUGUAAGGACAGCUCCCCAGGGUCAAAGUUCUCACCUGACGAACUGCUUAUCUCAAUGGAUUCAAAGAUUUAAAAACUAAAAUUACUAUUAUUGUCAUUGUUAUGAUGAUGAUGAUGAUGACGACUGUGGUGGUGGUGGUGGUGGUGUGUGUGUGUGUGCACACGUGUGUGUUGGAGUGCGUGGGCUUAUGUAUGCAUAUGUAUGGAUACACAUACCAUGUGGAGGUUCGAGGAUAACAUUUGAGUGUUGGUUCUCUCUCUUUACUAUGUGGGUCCUGGGGAUGAAACUCAGGUUGUGAGGCUUGCAUGAAAAAUGCCUUUGUCUACUUAACUGUCAGCCCUAGGCCUAGAUUCAAAUUUUGAAUAGACUAGUGGGAGGUGGCAACUGUAGAAAGUGGGUCUUGGUUAUAGGAAGUAGGUCACUAGGAGAGGGAAUGUCUUUGACAGUUGUAUUGUGCCCUGGCCCCUUCUUACUACGUCUCUGCUCUGCUCUGCUUCUUGCCCACCAUGAUGUCAGCUGUUGCACCAGGGACCCUUGUUGUCACAAUGGAGUCAUAGUCUGAAACCCAAGCAAAGUAAACCUUUCCCCCUUUGAAAUUGUGUCAGGCAUCCUGUCACAGUGCUGAGAAAGCUAACAGAGCCCUGCAGAGACACGACUCUCCUGUAGAUACUUCCUUGGUCAUUUGAAUAUGCUUGGUCUGUCUUGCCCAACCUGGAAGUCACUACCUACAAGUGACAUGUGAAAUGAGACUAUCGUUAUUAAGGAAUGACCUUUGAAUUCUAUUCAACUAACUUCCCUUAAAUCUGGAGAGCUCUCUGGGUCUGGGGCUACCACCUUGGAUGAUCCUGAGAGGAUGGGUGGGUGACUGUGAAGAGGCCGAUACAGUGUCCAGGAGCUGUGCUCUGAGAACAAAGAAACCUCCCUUCUCCCCUCAUCUCAUAACUGGGAAAACUGAAGCUUCAAGAGACUAAUAGUAUGCCCAAGGUCACAUAGCUACAUAGCUAGUAAGUGGCAAAGCCACAGUUCGGGUCAGUUGACUUCUGGGUAUGCACCUAGCACGUGGGAAGCUUCAGGUUCAGUUCUUAGCAUUGCAAAAAAAAAAAAAAAAAGUUGAAUAAUUAUCAGGGCCUGGUGCUAGCAGGCUGGUUCCUGCCUGUAACAAAUAGCUCUGAGCUUUUUAUGAGUGAUUCCCAUGCCCUUAUCUCCCACAGCCUUGGCUGGAAUCUUGGCAGGUCCCUGUUUAGUUCUUGGAAACUGGACAAAUGACCUUAGUUUUAACCAGGCUUCGGCCCCUUCACUUUCAGACUGGUUCCAAGGCCUGUUCUUCUGAGUGUUAACUCCCCAAGGUUCCCAGUUUCAAUUUUGCUGUUGCCAUUAGGCUGGCUGGUAUCCCCUUGCCUUUCUGCCGCACCCUCUCAUCAAGACCCUCCCCUCUGUGAAGGGUUCCAGCAGUUCUCUGGAGAAAG